rnacentral:rRNA from 1 species
CUACGGGUGGCUGCAGUGAGGAAUAUUGCGCAAUGGGCGAAAGCCUGACGCAGCGAUGCCGCGUGAGUGAAGAAACCCUUAGGGGUGUAAAGCUCUUUUUUAUGGGACGAAUGCCCGUUUCGGCGGGAGCGACGGUACCAUGAGAAUAAGCACCGGCUAACUCCGUGCCAGCAGCCGCGGUAAUACGGAGGGUGCAAGCGUUGUCCGGAUUGACUGGGCGUAAAGGGCGUGUAGGCGGGAUGAUCAGUCGGAGGUGAAAUUUGCACAGCUCAACUGGCAAAGUGCCUUCGAUACUGUCAUCCUUGAGUGAAGGAGGGGGUAGUGGAAUUCCCGGUGUAGCGGUGGAAUGCGCAGAUAUCGGGAGGAACACCGGUGGCGAAGGCGGCUACCUGGCCUUACACUGACGCUGAUGCGCGAAAGCGUGGGGAGCAAACAGGAUUAGAUACCCUUGUAGUC